UACGUAGGGGGCAAGCGUUGUCCGGAUUUAUUGGGCGUAAAGAGCGUGUAGGCGGCCAGGUAGGUCAGCUGUGAAAACUCGAGGCUCAACCUCGAGACGCCGGUUGAAACCAUCUGGCUAGAGUCCGGAAGAGGAGAGUGGAAUUCCUGGUGUAGCGGUGAAAUGCGCAGAUAUCAGGAAGAACACCCGUGGCUAAGGCGGCUCUCUAGUACGGUACUGACGCUGAUGCACGAAAGCUAGGGGAGCAAACAGG
rnacentral:rRNA from 1 species